CCCAGGAGGCCGAGGAGCACGGCGGUCUGCAUGGCCCCGCUCGCAGCUGCGUGCCUGGAGGAACACAGCGGGUGCCGGCUCCGCAGAGCAGCUGUGGCGCGGUGGACGCAGGUACAUGCCCACAGAAUUCUCUGUGUUGGUGGUCUCCAGGAUAGACAUUUAUCUCUGUGACUUUGAUCUCACCAAACCCCCAAGAGCCUCAUGUCAACAAGUAAAUUUCCCUGGGUCUUACUAUAUUGCAAAUGCGAGUCUCAAACUCACUGGCUGGAGUUACUGUCCUGCCUCAGCCUAAGACAGCAGGAGCCGUCUGCUCUGUCUCUGUCCGUCUCAUUGGUUGCUGGAAUCUACUGCUUCUCUAAGCCCUCCUGGGGGUGCAUGUACCUGAUGGGUUCAAGUAAAUAGCAACCAUGUGGCUUUUGGUCAUCUUGGCCGAUGACCUCAUCAAGAUGGAAGCAACCAUGUGGCUGGCAGCCGUCUUUACUAAGUUUAAAGAGAGAGCAUGUCAUGUGAUCUUACCACCAUCUUAAGGUGGUCACAUGGUAUAAACCAAUUAAAGCAACAUCCAUAAAACUUCUUAGUCCUACUGAACCCUCUGCUUGUCAAAAUAUCUGCUUUUUUAGACUAAGGAGGCAACAGCAGGUCUCCAAGAUAAUUUGGAUUAGGAUGGAUUUUUAUAUGAUGAUUUUUGUCCUGAGAGUAAAACCUGAAGAUAAAACCAUGAACAAGGUUUUAUGAAAAAUAGGGCUUGAAAAUAACACGUUUGAUGAACAAGGUAUUAAAGCCGCACCCAUAUGCUUUUAUAUGCAAGGGUUAAAAAAUGAAAAUAGGAAGCUUUGCAGGUGAGAGAAUGCAGGGAACUCCUUUACCUUUGUAAUGUUCUUCAGGGCCAACACUGACGAUAUGUUAGAGAUGUGAAUAAAAGGCUUUCAGUGAUUUCUAUUCCUCCAUCAAGGCAGCAUAAAUGAAGUUUUGAUUUACUGUGUUCAGUAACUCUUUGCUCUUUUGAAAAAGGCUGAGUUACUGAGGGAAGCACAGAAAUAAAAAAAGUCUUUUAAAGAAGCCAAGGAAAUAUUUAUGUAAAUGGUUGCAUAAUUAUGGAAAUAUUUAGUAAAUCUAUCUAGGCCAAUGAAUAGUUUCCCAGAAGGAAAAAUUAUUAUCCUUGGAAAUGCCAGUGUGAAGAACAGAUCUUCUGGAUGUCAGCUUUCUCUCAGAAUAGUGUCAUGGAUGAACUAGAAUGCUUGUCCUUAAAUGUCCUCAAAAUGUCUGCAAAUGUCACUGGUAGAUACAUGCAGCAAUUCUAGUAAUUUUGCCAAUUCUAGUGUUCACUAUAAUUAGAGAGUUGUAGCCAGAUACAUAUCUGAGCUAAUAGAAUGCACCGACCCAGAGAACCAGGCCACAUGGAAAAGGUCAAGGCAGGAAGUGCUACCAGAGCAGAACCAAGUACGUAAGAAGAAGCUAUCUUACAGGAGAAAUCAGCCCAGGUCACCUCCAGGAAAGCAGGGACAGGGUUAUCUCAUAAUUAGAAAGCCAGAGGAAGAAAAAAAAAAAGAAAGCCAGAUGGUUCAGGUUUGUCUCCUUUGUAUUUCCUGGGGGCACAAAAUAUCCUUGAAGUCAUCCACAUUGAACCCGCAGAGAGCCUGGGAUCUGAUGUCUUGGAGUUGCAUCUCUAGGAUCCUUGUGUUAAACCUCCACACUGUUUAAAACAGAAACAGAAAUUCAUUUAGCCAGAUGGAUUCCUGGCCAUUCACAGGUGUCUCUGUGUCCAUUGGGAGAACAGAGAAGAGCAGGAAACAGAGACGCUUUAGUUUAACAGUUUUACUUAAAAAAGUAAAUAACUAUUCCUCCUUCCUUCUCUGGACCCCUUUUCCUUUUCUUUCUUUUGUGCAUCAGCCAAGGCCUUCCUGGUGGGAACAGUUGAGCCCAUUCCACCUCCUGACUUAGGACUGCUUGCCUUUGGCCAGCUUUUGAGGCCAACCUGACAGUUACUAGCAGGGACUGGCAUCCCUAGUGGGGUCUUCUGACUACAAAUAUGACUUAGGGAAGAGCAGCAGAGGCUUAAUUUCAUGACCCAGGGUCUUGCCAGGGGUUUGCACAGACUAAGAUGCCAGGCAUCAGUAUCAUUCUAGGUGAAGGAUAACAGAGACUCAAGGAGCUGAUGAAUGAGCUAUGAUGAGAAGGGACAAAAAAGGAGUCAGGAAUGUGGGGAGGGAUAUGAGAGACUAAAGAGUUAGGGCCACAGCUGUGAGUAUCAGACACUGAGAUACUAAGUGUUUCAACUGAGGGGAAAAUGCAAUAAAAUAAAAUAUUCCUACCUUGUGGUACAGCAAGACAUUGGCCUAAGUAAUCUGGCAAAGAGCCUAUAGAGCAGUGGUUCUCAACUUUCCUAAUGCUGCUACCCUUUAAUACAGUUCCUCAUGUUGUGGUGACUGCCAAACACGAAAUUAUUUUUGUUAUUACUACAUAACUGUAAAUUUGCUACUGUUAUGAAUUGUGAUGUAAAUAUCUGGUAUGUGACCCACAGGUUGAGAGCCACUGUUACAGACUCUCUCCUUGGCAAAGGUCUCCUCAGGCUAAUGAAACUGACUUGUAGAUGUAUGUCUAACCACUUACGUUUUUGCUAAUUUUUUAAAGCUUUAGCUGUUUAUAUAAACUGAGUCAUAUAAGAAACCAUGAUAUUCUGUAAGGGUACACUAUGAAAGAAUCAGAAAAGUGAAGUUUCCAGCCUCUGAUUUAAAGUUUUAUUUUGAUUCCAAACAAUCUUCAAUUCAAAAUUUUAAGGCUGAAAUUAACAGAAAUAAAACUAUAAAAUCCUAAUGUUGUAAAAGCUACUAAUUUGUUUGUAAACUGUUAAGGAAAAUUAAGACAUGAAAGUUAAUGGUUAGUCAUGUUUUUUUUUUUUUUUUUUGUCUUGUUUUACAACAAGGUCUCUUCUGUGUAGCUCUGGCUGUUCUGGAACCAGCUGUGUAGACCAGGCUGUCCUUGAACUCACAAAGAUCCACCUGCUUCUGCCUCCCAAGUGCUGGGAUUAAAGACAUGCACCACCACUGCCUCGCUAGGUCAGUCAUCUUAUAACUGAUCAAUUCUUUAAUGUCCUCAGAACUAUGCUUGUAGUCAUGGUAAACACAAAUGUAAUUCAUUUACAGAGACAAGCUUUACCUCUGUAUAUGUUUUCAAGGUUACGUCAGAAGCAGGUAAUUGAAAACAGUAAAGUUAGCCAGUUGGUGGUGACCCACGCCUUUAAUUCUAGCACUUGGGAGGCAUAGGCACGUGGAUCUCUGAGUCCGAUCCCAGUUUGGUCUACAGAGCUAGUUCCAGGACAGCUAGGGCUGCUACACAGAGAAACCUUGACUUAAAAAAAAAAAAAAGGGCUUCCUCUGAUAGGCAAAAAUAUCAACUUCUGUAGCAGCAGCUAAGGGUCCUCCAAAAAAAAAUGGGCAGCAACAGACUCAACCGGAAGCUUACUUCAAGUGUGACAAUGCUGACCACUGGGCAAUAAACUGUUCCAUGCCUCUCCCAUUGUCAUGGCCCUGCACAGCAUUGUUGGGCUGAUUCCUUUAUUCUGCCUUGCCAAGAUGGGUCAGUUCUCCCAAGUUCCUCCUCCACAGGAAAAAAAAGUCUCUCAGACCGUUAGGUCCCGCAGCCAAAGGCUGAUACUGCUGACUUGGGUGACAGCUUGAGACUUAAAGCUGUCCUGUGUGACAGCAAGAGACUGAUGACCUCUGCCAUCGAGAUCACCAUGGAGGAGCAAGGCUGGCUGUCCAGGUGAUGGUUACGGUAAGUCUCUGUCAUUGCAAUUGAUACGGAGAGCAUUUGACUUAAACUUACUUCUCAGAUCUCUAUGAGGGUGUCGCUAGCAAGCUGUGGCUUUAUCAGUUUAGGGGCAGCAAGUCAACCUCAGCCAGCUCUUCCACACAAGGCUGCAGCUGCCUGGUCAGGCCAUUUCACAUGAGAAAAGCACAACUUGCUUUUCCUAGAGCCAGCAGUCCUGCUGAGAAAGGCAGACUCACAGACAGGUUCGCCUUGCCAACAGGCUUCACAUUGAAAAAGAUAACAGGUGUCAAUGUGACUGACUUAAUCAACCAACUAUGCUUCAUGUUAAUGGUUGGAUGAAAACAAUGUUUAAAGUUUAUUUAAGUUAUGAGGGUCUAAGAAAAUGAUUUAAGGUAUAUAAAUACCAGUUUCGAGGAUCUACAGAAAUGGUUAAAGGUAUGUAAUGCAAGUUAUAAUCUCUGAAGAAAUGACUUAAGGUAUGCGAAAAAUAAUACUUUAAAAUGAUACACAAUGGAGUUCUAGCUUUGGUAAAACACUGGCUACUAUUUAUUAUGGUCAUAUUUAGCUCAAAAUUUCCAAUUCCUUUGGUUAUUUUCUAAAUGUGGACUUAAAAAUGCUUCUCCCUAGGACUGGAGAGAUGGCUCAGAGGUUAAGAGAACUGGCUGCUCUUCCAGAGGUCCUGAGUUCAGUUCCCAGUAACCACACAGUGGCUCACAACCAUCAAUAAUGAGAUCUGGUGUCCUCUUCUGACAUGUAGGCUAUGCUUACAGAGCACUGUAUCAUAAUAAAUAAACAAACAAACAAAUAAAUCUUUAAAAAGUG